AGUGAACGCUGGCGGUAGGCCUAACACAUGCAAGUCGAACGGCAGCACAGGAGAGCUUGCUCUCUGGGUGGCGAGUGGCGGACGGGUGAGGAAUACAUCGGAAUCUACUCUGUCGUGGGGGAUAACGUAGGGAAACUUACGCUAAUACCGCAUACGACCUACGGGUGAAAGCAGGGGACCUUCGGGCCUUGCGCGAUUGAAUGAGCCGAUGACGGAUUAGCUAGUUGGCGGGGUAAAGGCCCACCAAGGCGACGAUCCGUAGCUGGUCUGAGAGGCUGAUCAGCCACACUGGAACUGAGACACGGUCCAGGCUCCUACGGGAGGCAGCAGUGGGGAAUAUUGGACAAUGGGCGCAAGCCUGAUCCAGCCAUACCGCGUGGGUGAAGAAGGCCUUCGGGUUGUAAAGCCCUUUUGUUGGGAAAGAAAUCCAGCUGGCUAAUACCCGGUUGGGAUGACGGUACCCAAAGAAUAAGCACCGGCUAACUUCGUGCCAGCAGCCGCCGUAA
rnacentral:rRNA from 1 species